CUAUGCCGGAGGCUCUGCUACCUACAGAGAACAUGACAUCCCUUAUUUAUCCCAAGGGAAAAAGAACCCUGUCAGUCUGGUGUUGUCUACCCCUAAACACAUGCGGGAAUGAAAACUGUUUUGUCCCCCUCUCUUUCAGUGUUCUUUCUCACUUAGAAAAAUGGUUGAAAAACCAGGUUUUGGCUCUGAUGAGUCAGGUAAAGAGAAGGACAAUAUCUCAUCAAGAGUUACAAGUAAAUGGUCUAACCAGUCCUAGUUUAUCUGAGUCAAACGACUCGGUUUUGUACCAACUUCGAUAAACUCGCUCGAGUUAGGUUUUUCUCUAUCGUUAAGUCUAUUUUUUUUUUCCAUUUUGGGCUGAAAACUGUGUGUGUCUGAGUCUUGAAUUGGCCUGCGACUGCCAAAACUAGGGAAAACACUGUUACGGAGAGAAGAGAACCGUUUCCGAGGCCCUAACACACCAUAAAGGAUAGAAAAGGCUCAUCACCGGCUGACCGUCCCGAUCAAAGACUCCAACGGCGACCUGAAGGUUAAUAAAGGAAAAGAGUCGGACUGAGCUUGUCCUCAUAUCAGAUGGAAGAAUCAAAUAAAAGAAGAGAAAGAUUGAAAUCAAUGCGAAUGGAGGCUGCUGAGGCUGAAGCUUCCGAGAUUGCCGAUAGUUCUACUGCCCCUGGUUACCUAUCCAAUCCACUAAUUGAACCCUCUGCAAUUCCACUGGUGGAGGGAAGUUCACCUUCUGUUCCGCGGUUUGAUUUUUACACAGAUCCUAUGGCAGCUUUCUCUGGUAACAAGAGGAGGAGCAGCAGUAUGCAGACACCACAACAUUAUAUCUCACCCACAACUAGUAGCGGGUCCCCCAUUACUAGGUUUUCAUCACCUCCUUCAGGUAGCAUGGUCUUUCUACACAGUACUUGUUUUUUUAGUUAUGAGUUUUUCUUAGUGUAACUGUUUGCGAAUGCCAAAAUAUCAUGGUAGUUUUAGGGGUUUUUUUUAGUAUAAUGUUUUCAUAAAACGUUCUUGUCGCUGGUGUUUUGUUCAAGCGCUAGACUUCUUGCUGUUUGGUGCAUGAUAAUGUAGUGAAAUUUUGAGAGAUAGUGAGAUACUUAAACUGUAGAAGAAUUUUCUUAGAACUAAA